rnacentral:rRNA from 1 species
GAUGAACGCUGGCGGCGUGCCUAAUACAUGCAAGUAGAACGCUGAAGGAGGAGCUUGCUCUUCUGGAUGAGUUGCGAACGGGUGAGUAACGCGUAGGUAACCUGCCUGGUAGCGGGGGAUAACUAUUGGAAACGAUAGCUAAUACCGCAUGACAACAGUUAUUGCAUGAUAACUGUUUAAAAGGGGCAACUGCUCCACUACCAGAUGGACCUGCGUUGUAUUAGCUAGUUGGUGAGGUAACGGCUCACCAAGGCGACGAUACAUAGCCGACCUGAGAGGGUGAUCGGCCACACUGGGACUGAGACACGGCCCAGACUCCUACGGGAGGCAGCAGUAGGGAAGCUUCGGCAAUGGACGGAAGUCUGACCGAGCAACGCCGCGUGAGUGAAGAAGGUUUUCGGAUCGUAAAGAUCGGUUGUAAGAGAAGAACGAGUGUGAGAGUGGAAAGUUCACACUGUGACGGUAUCUUACCAGAAAGGGACGGCUAACUACGUG